rnacentral:rRNA from 1 species
CCUACGGGUGGCAGCAGUGGGGAAUAUUGCACAAUGGGGGCAACCCUGAUGCAGCAACGCCGCGUGAGUGAAGAAGUAUUUCGGUACGUAAAGCUCUUUCAGCAGGGAAGAAAAUGCCGGUACCUGACUAAGAAGCCCCGUCUCACUACGUUCCAGCAGCAGCGGUACUACGUAGGGGGCAAGCGUUAUCCGGAUUUACUGGGUGUAAGGGGAGAGUUGACGGCAGGGCAAGUCUGGAGUGAAAUCCCAUGGCUUAACCAUGGAAAUGCUUUGGAAACUGUGCAGCUGGAGUGCAGGAGAGGUAAGCGGAAUGCCGGGUGUAGCGGUGAAAUGCGUAGAUAUUAGGAGGAACACCAGUGGCGAAGGCGGAUUACUGGACUGUAACUGACGUUGAGGCGCGAAAGCGUGGGGAGCAAACAGGAUUAGAUACCCGAGUAGUC